rnacentral:rRNA from 1 species
GCAGGUUGAAGCGCGGGUAAGACCGCGUGGAGGACCGAACCCACCUGGGUUGAAAACCGGGGGGAUGACCUGGGGCUAGGGGUGAAAGGCCAAUCAAAUUCCGUGAUAGCUGGUUCUCUCCGAAAUGCAUUUAGGUGCAGCGUCGGUUGAUUGCAUCGCGGGGGUAGAGCUACUGGAUGCUUGCGGGCCCGUAUGGGGUACCAACAGCAGCCAAACUCCGAAUACCGUUGAUGUGUAUUCCGGCAGUGAGUCGGCGGGGGAUAAGCUCCGUCGUCGAGAGGGAGACAGCCCAGAUCGUCGUCUAAGGUCCCGAAGCGUGUGCUAAGUGGGAAAGGAUGUGGAGUCGCAUAGACAGCCAGGAGGUUGGCUCAGAAGCAGCCAUCCUUGAAAGAGUGCGUAACAGCUCACUGGUCUAGUGGUUCCGCGCCGACAAUGUAGCGGGGCUCAAGCACACCACCGAAGACGCGGCAGCAAUCUUCAUGGUUGCUGGGUAGGAGAGCGUCCUGCGAGGGGCGAAGCGGCCGGGUAACCGUGCCGUGGACUUCGUGGGAGUGAGAAUGCAGACAUGAGUAGCGAGAGACGGGUGAGGAUCCCGUCCGCUGGAUGACCAAGGGUUCCGGGGCCACGUUCGUCGUCCCCGGGUGAGUCGGGUCCUAAGGCGAGGCCGACAGGCGUAGUCGAAUGGAUGAACGGGUGGAUAUUCCCGUACCGACCAUGGACCGGCAAAACCGAGACGGUGAGUACUAACCUCCGCCUCGUGGUGGUUCCUUCCUUCGGGUUGGUUCCGCCGCGUGGUGUUGGGAGCGUAGCCGUAGUAGGUCAGCGCAGGGGUGACACGGAAUGGGAGCCGGCCGCGGAGGUGGUUUUCCGUGGUCAAGCACGCAGCCAGUCAUGUAGGCAAAUCCGCAUGGCGCGCAUGGCGAGGUGUGAUGAUGGGAGCCUUUUGGGCUCGAUAUCCGGUUGUCCAGGCCGUCGAGAAAAGCCUCGGCGUGAGGGCCAUGGCCGCCCGUACCCCAAACCGACACUGGUGGUCAGGUAGAGAAUACCAAGGCGAUCGAGCGAAUCCUGGUCAAGGAACUCGGCAAAUCACUCCCGUGCCUUCGGUAUAAGGGAGACCCGCUGGGGUGAACCGGCUAGCCCGGGGAGCUUUGGUGGGUGGCACAGACCAGGGGGUAGCGACUGUUUACCAAAAACACAGGUGCAUGCGAAGGCGAAAGCCGCUGUAUAUGCACUGACGCCUGCCCGGUGCCGGAAGGUUAAGAGGAUCCGUCAAUCCCUUCGGGGACGAAGCGGUGAAUUCAAGCCCCGGUAAACGGCGGUGGUAACUAUAACCAUCCUAAGGUAGCGAAAUUCCUUGUCGGGUAAGUUCCGACCUGCACGAAUGGCGUA